rnacentral:rRNA from 1 species
AGGGUGUAAACGCUGCAGACUUGGUGUUGGAGGCCCUUUGGGGGCAUUCAGUGCCGGAGAGAAGUUGUUAAGUCUGCUACUUGGGAGUACGUCCGCAAGGAUGAAACUUAAAGGAAUUGGCGGGGGAGGCACCGCAACGGGAGGAGCGUGCGGUUUAAUUGGAUUCAACACCGUAAAACUACACCAGGGAAGACUGUUACAUGAAGGCCGAGAUGAAGACUCUGCUAGAUUUUCAGAGAGGAGGUGCAUGGCGUCAGUGACU